rnacentral:tRNA from 1 species
UGAUCGGCUGGGGUGCGGCGAGCCUCGUGCUGCUGCUGCUCGCGCAAGUCCUGCAUGCGGCGACGUUCGGAUCGUUCCAUGCCGCGGCGAUCGGC